CUGUUCUGUCAGAAGAAAGCGGAGUCAGGAUGCCUGAACCAGCGAAGUCCGCGCCCGCCCCGAAGAAGGGCUCCAAGAAGGCGGUGACCAAGGCGCAGAAGAAGGACGGCAAGAAGCGCAAGCGCAGCCGCAAGGAGAGCUACUCGGUGUACGUGUACAAGGUGCUGAAGCAGGUGCACCCCGACACCGGCAUCUCGUCCAAGGCCAUGGGCAUCAUGAACUCGUUCGUCAACGACAUCUUCGAGCGCAUCGCGGGCGAGGCGUCGCGCCUGGCGCAUUACAACAAGCGCUCGACCAUCACGUCCAGGGAGAUCCAGACGGCCGUGCGCCUGCUGCUGCCCGGGGAGCUGGCCAAGCACGCCGUGUCCGAGGGCACCAAGGCCGUCACCAAGUACACCAGCUCCAAGUAAACUUGCCAAAUGAACGACUUCAGCGGUCUCCUCCUUGACUUGUACUCCCAACUGCCUUCCAAACCCUGGCUGCAGGGAAGGAGACUGAGGAGAGCUGGAGACCACGUUGGCGGAAGUUCCGAGUUCUUGGGCUUCAUUUGGGUGGCGUCGGCCCGCGGUGCUACACAGGAAAAAGGGCCCCCUUUGCUUUACUUGAACAGCAGCAUUUGAGGGACUUUUCCUUUCAUAACCAUGACAUUGGCUACCAUGGACAGGGAACAGGAAUUGUGGGAAAGUGAAGGACUAAAGUAAGACUUUUGUCUAAAAAUUUAACCAUGAAGGUUCAGCUGGAUUUCAGAAGUACAAAACAAUGUGCUGCUGAUGCUGCUGGUCCCGGGACUCACACCAGAGAACUGUGCUUUCAACCAGAAGACGGGAUUUCCUUGAAAUACUAGAGCCAAACAGCAACACAAUUACACUCAGGUUUGAACUGCUAAGCCCUAAAAAUUGGCAGCCGGCUCACGCCACCCUCCGCGACCACGCAGGCGUGCAAACGACCCUGCGCCUCGGCAAGGCCCGCCCCCUCACCCCGGUCUCCUGGCCACGCCCUCCACGCUGACGACCUCAGUGGCCCGUCCUGCCACGCCCUCCACGCCGCCGUCUCAUUGGGCCGUUUCCGCGCACACGUCCCGCCCACUGCCCCAACGAGCUUCACGUCACGUUACGUUCCGCCGGCUCACCCGUGCGAUCGCGCAUUUUCUUUCUCCUCCCCGUUGCGUUCGCCGGGGCGGGUUCCCGUGGCGCCCCCUGCUGGUGCGCAGGCCCCGGUGACCCGGCCUCGCGGAGCUGCGUCUGGACCUUCGCAGUGAGGCCCUGGGCGGUCCGCAGAGAAGAACGCAGAGCCGAGCGCUGUGCCGCCCGAGCUGCUGGGCGGCGGUGUCCCUGGUGUCCCUCCUGUCGGGCUGUGUGCGAGGCGGCCCUGUGCCUGCUCUGCAGCGGCCGAGGGCCCCUUAACAGUGCCUCCGCGGGACAGCCGGCUUGCACACCCUCUGCUCGCUGCCCUCAGAUUUCUAGCACA